rnacentral:rRNA from 1 species
AUGCAAGUCGAGGGGCAGCACGAGUAGCAAUACUUGGUGGCGACCGGCGCAAGGGUGCGUAACGCGUGAGCAACAUGCCCGUAUCAGGGGAAUAAUCUAGGGAAACUUAGUCUAAUACCCCAUAGCAUUAUUAAUCGGCAUCGAUUUAUAAUUAAAGCUUUGGUGGAUACGGAUUGGCUCGCGUGACAUUAGUUAGAUGGUAAGGUAACGGCUUACCAUGACUAUGAUGUCUAGGGGUUCUGAGAGGAAGAUCCCCCACACUGGAACUGAGACACGGUCCAGACUCCUACGGGAGGUAGCAGUGAGGAAUAUUGGACAAUGGAUGGAAAUCUGAUCCAGCCAUGCCGCGUGCAGGAAGACGGUCCUAUGGAUUGUAAACUGCUUUUAUAUGGGAGCAAUAAGGUCUUUGCGAAGACUGAUGAGAGUACCAUAUGAAUAAGCAUCGGCUAACUCCGUGCCAGCAGCCGCGGUAAUACGGAGGAUGCGAGCGUUAUCCGGAUUUAUUGGGUUUAAAGGGUGCGUAGGCGGUCUGAUAAGUCAGUGGUGAAAGUUUUCAGCUUAACUGGAAAAAUGCCAUUGAUACUGUCAGGCUAGAAUAUGGUUGCUGUGAGUGGAAUGUGUGGUGUAGCGGUGAAAUGCUUAGAUAUCACACAGAAUAUCGAUUGCGAAGGCAGCUCACAAAGCCAUUAUUGACGCUGAGGCACGAAAGUGUGG